rnacentral:sRNA from 1 species
UGUUAGCCCCGAUUGAACCGGAAAUCCUUAUAAGCCGGGGUUCGACUUAUAAGAUUGAAGCGAAAAGCGGGACGAUAC